rnacentral:rRNA from 1 species
UACGUAGGCAGCAAGCGUUGUUCGGAGUUACUGGGCGUAAAGGGUGCGUAGGCGGCUAUUUAAGUUUGGUGUGAAAUCUCCCGGCUCAACCGGGAGGGUGCGCCGAAUACUGAGUGGCUAGAGUACGGGAGAGGAAAGUGGAAUUCCUGGUGUAGCGGUGAAAUGCGUAGAUAUCAGGAGGAACACCGGUGGUGUAAACGGCUUUCUGGACCGUAACUGACGCUGAGGCACGAAAGCGUGGGUAGCAAACAGG